UCCUCUGGCUCUGGUCCUUGUGAGCGGUUUUGCUGCGCAAGACCCAUCUAUAUCUCACUGCUUUCUAAACCCACUUCACACCUUAUCUCUCUCUCUCUCUCUCUCUCUCUCUCCGCCAUGGCCUCUGCUUCUACACAUCUAUUCAAGCCGGUGUCAAUGGCAGACGGCUGCCUAUCCUCUCCUUCAACCGUCUUCGCCACUAAAACAGCAUACCCAUGUAUCUCUCUCCCUGCAAAACCCAUAAAAUUCUUUAACCUUUCUUGCCCGUCUGCUUCUUCAUUUCCUUCUUGGGCAUCUCUGAGGAAGAAAAUAACCCCAUCUACUCUUAUCGCUCUUGUGGCCCAGACCUCUGACUGGGCUCAACAGGAGGAAGAAGGAAAAGUUGAGGAGGGGUUCGAUUGGGAGAAUCAGCAGAGCGAGGAGACUGAAGCUCGUGUCUCGGAUUGGGAGGUUGAGGGCGAGGAAGAGGUCUCAGCAGGGGGUGAGGUCGAAGAUAGUGAAGUCAGCGCUGGAGAUGGGUUUUUCGGAGGGGGGGAAGAGGCUUACCAAGAGCCACCUGAAGAGGCAAAGCUCUUUGUGGGCAAUUUACCUUAUGAUAUGGACAGCGAGAAGUUGGCUCAGCUCUUCGAGCCGGCUGGAAUUGUUGAGGUUGCGGAGGUAAUUUACAACCGGGAAACAGAUCAAAGUCGUGGCUUUGGAUUCGUCACGAUGAGUACUGUGGAAGAGGCGGAGAAAGCUGUGGAGAUGUUCCACCGCUACGAUGUAAGUGGCAGGCUUUUGACUGUGAACAAGGCUGCUCCAAGGGGGUCCCGGCCAGAGCGAUCCCCUCGAGUGUUUGGAACUUCAUUCAGGAUGUAUGUAGGAAACCUGCCAUGGCAAGUGGAUAAUGCUCGUCUGGAGCAGGUUUUUAGUGAGCAUGGCAAGGUUGUGGAUGCCAGGGUUGUAUAUGACCGGGAAACUGGGCGCUCACGUGGGUUUGGCUUUGUAACAAUGUCCUCGCAAUCUGAGUUGGAUGAUGCCAUUGCUGCUCUUGAUGGACAGAGUUUGGAUGGGAGGGCCAUCAGAGUGAAUGUUGCAGAGGAAAGACCAAGGCGUGGCUCCUUCUGAUCUUGAGAGAUGAAUUCCCAGGGGCAUUCUAAGUAUUCUCAUGAAAUGUGCUCAUCUGGUUUGAUGGAUUUGUAUUGGAAGCUGCAAAGAGGUAGCCCUGCUCUGUUCUUUCAAAAUCAACUGGGUUGAUCGGUUCUAUUACUCUGUUGGAGUAGAUCAAUGGAAACUCUCGGAAUAGACAAACGAUCGAGUAGCAGUUCUCAACAUUUGACCCAUCCACUGGCAAUAACACACACAGGAUUCAUCAGAUUUAAAUGAAGGGCUCUGACAUAUAAUGACUUCACAUUAUUUUGAUUAAUUCAUCAAUUCAAUGGUCCUUAAGACCAUGCCGCUUCUCAUAGUUGUAGCUCAGUGGUGGCUGCCUCUGGUGUAAGACCAAGAAGGUUUUGUGGUCGACUCUCUAUUCCGUCCGUAUUGGAUGUAGUAGCCAUGUAGGUGGGGGAGUAAAAGGGUAAUAACACAUCCCCUUAUCUUCCACAUCUAAUUGUUGAAUGCAUGAGUGUGUACUUAAUACACUUCCACGGCCCUGCAUAAUACCUUUUGCCUUGGGCUUAUCAUAUCC